GGUAAGGUGGCCGAGUGGUUAAGGCGGCAGGUUCAAGCUUUUAAGGAGUUUGCCCACUUCAAAUGGGUUAUUUUCUGCUGGAGCAAUCCUCGCAGGUUCGAGUCCUGCCCUUAUCA
rnacentral:tRNA from 1 species